rnacentral:ncRNA from 3 species
UACGUAGGGGGCAAGCGUUAUCCGGAAUUAUUGGGCGUAAAGAGUGCGUAGGUGGUUAUGUAAGCGUGAGGUUUAAGGCAGUGGCUUAACCACUGUUCGCCUUGCGAACUGCAUAACUUGAGUGCAGGAGGGGAAAGCGGAAUUCCUAGUGUAGCGGUGAAAUGCGUAGAUAUUAGGAGGAACACCAGCGGCGAAGGCGGCUUUCUGGACUGCAACUGACACUGAGGCACGAAAGCGUGGGGAGCAAACAGG